GGCAGCUACACGGCGACGUGAUGCUAAUACCCUAAACGCCUCCUCUCAGUUCGGAUUGGAGUCUGCAACCCGACUCCAUGAAGCUGGAUUCGCUAGUAAUCGCGCAUCAGCCACGGCGCGGUGAAUACGUUCCCGGGCCUUGUACACACCGCCCGUCAAGCCAUGAAAGCCGGGGGUACCUGAAGUGCGUAACCGCAAGGAGCGCCCUAGGGUAAAACUGGUGAUUGGGGCUAAGUCGUAACAAGGUACC
rnacentral:rRNA from 1 species